UACAGAGGGGGCAAGCGUUAUUCGGAAUUAUUGGGCGUAAAGGGCGCGUAGGCGGCUAUUCAAGUGGCGGGUGAAAUCCCUCGGCUUAACCGAGGAACUGCCUGCCAGACUGGAUGGCUUGAGACCGGGAGAGGUGAGUGGAAUUCCCAGUGUAGCGGUGAAAUGCGUAGAUAUUGGGAGGAACACCAGUGGCGAGGGCGGCUCACUGGACCGGUACUGACGCUGAGGCGCGAAAGCGUGGGGAGCAAACAGG
rnacentral:rRNA from 1 species